AUAUUGGACAAUGGGCGAAAGCCUGAUCCAGCCAUGCCGCGUGAGUGAUGAAGGCCUUAGGGUUGUAAAGCUCUUUCGCCAGGGACGAUAAUGACGGUACCUGGCUAAGAAGCCCCGGCUAACUUCGUGCCAGCAGCCGCGGUAAUACGAAGGGGGCUAGCGUUGUUCGGAAUUACUGGGCGUAAAGCGUAUGCAGGCGGACUUUUAAGUCGGGGGUGAAAUCCCGAGGCUCAACCUCGGAACUGCCUUCGAUACUGGAAGUCUUGAGUCCGGGAGAGGUGAGUGGAACUGCGAGUGUAGAGGUGAAAUUCGUAGAUAUUCGCAAGAACACCAGUGGCGAAGGCGGCUCACUGGCCCGGUACUGACGCUGAGAUACGAAAGCGUGGGGAGCAAACAGG
rnacentral:rRNA from 1 species